rnacentral:rRNA from 1 species
AGUGAACGCUGGCGGUUGGCCUAACACAUGCAAGUCGAACGGCAGCACAGUAAGAGCUUGCUCUUACGGGUGGCGAGUGGCGGACGGGUGAGGAAUACAUCGGAAUCUACUUUUUCGUGGGGGAUAACGUAGGGAAACUUACGCUAAUACCGCAUACGACCUACGGGUGAAAGCAGGGGAUCUUCGGACCUUGCGCGAUUGAAUGAGCCGAUGUCGGAUUAGCUAGUUGGCGGGGUAAAGGCCCACCAAGGCGACGAUCCGUAGCUGGUCUGAGAGGAUGAUCAGCCACACUGGAACUGAGACACGGUCCAGACUCCUACGGGAGACAGCAGUGGGGAAUAUUGGACAAUGGGCGCAAGCCUGAUCCAGCCAUACCGCGUGGGUGAAGAAGGCCUUCGGGUUGUAAAGCCCUUUUGUUGGGAAAGAAAAGCAGCAGGUUAAUACCCCGCUGUUCUGACGGUACCCAAAGAAUAAGCACCGGCUAACUUCGUG